rnacentral:rRNA from 1 species
UGGGGAAUAUUGCACAAUGGGGGAAACCCUGAUGCAGCGACGCCGCGUGAACGAAGAAGGUAUUCGUAUCGUAAAGUUCUGUCCUAUGGGAAGAUAAUGACAGUACCAUAGAAGAAAGCUCCGGCUAAAUACGUGCCAGCAGCCGCGGUAAUACGUAUGGAGCGAGCGUUGUCCGGAAUUAUUGGGCGUAAAGGGUACGCAGGCGGUUUAAUAAGUCGAAUGUUAAAGAUCGGGGCUCAACCCCGUAAAGCAUUGGAAACUGAUAAACUUGAGUAGUGGAGAGGAAAGUGGAAUUCCUAGUGUAGUGGUGAAAUACGUAGAUAUUAGGAGGAAUACCAGUAGCGAAGGCGACUUUCUGGACACAAACUGACGCUUAGGUACGAAAGCGUGGGGAGCAAACAGG